UACGGUUUUCAAUGUUCUGAAAUAUCGAUUACUUUUGUUAUAAUGAUCACAGUUUCUAUUUUAGUUUUCCGCUUUUUGUUAUUAUUCAUUCCUCGAGAAGAUGAAUAAUUUUGGUUGAAACAUUUCUUCAGGAAUUGUCCAAUCGAAGGUGAAGGACUCAUCAGGUGAGCAAAUUGGUGUCCCAGGGGUCGGAAGUUUUUCCAAGGUAUUAGUUCCUGAGUAGAUAGAGACGUCGCAGAAGUUGAAAUUCUGAGGUGUAUGGGAUGAAAUUCGUAGAUUUCCACCCACUAUCCUGUUCGCAGCGCCAGUUAAAGCGAACCUUUAUUACACUUGAUAUUAUAACUAUUAUACGCAAUGAUGGAAAACGAAUAAACUAACAUAGGUUUGACCUAUAGAGUGGACUGUUGAAUGAAUGAUUUUUUUUAUGUUUUCGUGGGGAAAUCUUCAAAGGACACCCAAUCGUCCGUACUACUGAGGAUUCCCGAGGAAGAAGUCCUCGGAUCUACCAACUAAAGCCCCUCUACCUCAGGCCGUUCUAGGGCCACAUAGAUCUUCUUCGUUUUGUAUUGAUUUGUGUAGGGAUUGGGGUAAUUGGGAUGCUGUUGUAAAGUGUGUUGGACGGAAAGUGUUGGUCUAAUCUUGCGACUUUGCGUAAAAUGCGUCGUUCGAUUGCAAGAAUCCUGUGUUACAAGUUUUAAUACGCCCGUUUAUUAACGAAAUUAGGUUAGCGCGUUUCCGUACUUCGGCAGGAGGAUCGACGCACUCUACCAGUGCAGUCUUUGAAGGAGUGAGGGUUUUGGGAUCAAGUCGUUUAGGACAUUUGCUGUCAAAGGCUAGGUGUUUGCCUUUACAGUUGGUGCAGGAAGGAGAGGACAUACACGUGGAAGGAUCGUGCAUUAAACCGUAGCGGUAACAGAGCGGUUGCUGGUGACAGGAAGAAGUGUUGUGGCCAAAUGUGAAGCAUUUGCCAUACUAAAGCGGCUGAGGGCCGGAAGAUUGUGACGGUUCGCAGCGAUAGUUCCUAGAGAACAUCGUAAAGCCUUUAUAAAGCAGGGUGUCAUGGGCAGUUAGAAAUAAUACGGAACAGAAAGGUGUCUUGUUCGGUUUGCCUCGACAUACUGCGCCAGGCGUUUUGGCUUAGAUGUUUUGAUGCUUUUAACUUAAGCAUUGCUAACUUUUUCUCGUGUGCUUGAUUGAAAUGUAUCUUGAAAAUAAAUAACUAAAACUGUGAACUGCUUUUGUAUUA
rnacentral:lncRNA from 1 species